rnacentral:rRNA from 1 species
UGCAGUCGAACGGCAGCACAGAGGAGCUUGCUCCUUGGGUGGCGAGUGCGCGGACGGGUGAGGAAUACAUCGGAAUCUACUCUGUCGUGGGGGAUAACGUAGGGAAACUUACGCUAAUACCGCAUACGACCUACGGGUGAAAGCAGGGGAUCUUCGGACCUUGCGCGAUUGAAUGAGCCGAUGUCGGAUUAGCUAGUUGGCGGGGUAAAGGCCCACCAAGGCGACGAUCCGUAGCUGGUCUGAGAGGAUGAUCAGCCACACUGGAACUGAGACACGGUCCAGACUCCUACGGGAGGCAGCAGUGGGGAAUAUUGGACAAUGGGCGCAAGCCUGAUCCAGCCAUACCGCGUGGGUGAAGAAGGCCUUCGGGUUGUAAAGCCCUUUUGUUGGGAAAGAAAUCCAGCCGGCUAAUACCUGGUUGGGAUGACGGUACCCAAAGAAUAAGCACCGGCUAACUUCGUGCCAGCAGCCGCGGUAAUACGAAGGGUGCAAGCGUUACUCGGAAUUACUGGGCGUAAAGCGUGCGUAGGUGGUCGUUUAAGUCCGUUGUGAAAGCCCUGGGCUCAACCUGGGAACUGCAGUGGAUACUGGACGACUAGAGUGUGGUAGAGGGUAGCGGAAUUCCUGGUGUAGCAGUGAAAUGCGUAGAGAUCAGGAGGAACAUCCAUGGCGAAGGCAGCUACCUGGACCAA